rnacentral:rRNA from 1 species
UACAGAGGUCCCAAGCGUUGUUCGGAUUUAUUGGGCGUAAAGGGUGCGUAGGCGGCGGAGUAAGUUGGGUGUGAAAUCCCGGGGCUCAACCUCGGAAUUGCAUUCAAUACUGCUUCGCUCGAGUACUGGAGAGGAGUCUGGAAUUUACGGUGUAGCAGUGAAAUGCGUAGAUAUCGUAAGGAAGGCCGGUGGCGAAAGCGAGUCUCUGGACAGUUACUGACGCUGAUGCACGAAGGCCAGGGGAGCAAACGGG